rnacentral:rRNA from 1 species
UACAGAGGUCUCAAGCGUUGUUUGGAUUCAUUGGGCGUAAAGGGUGCGUAGGUGGCGCUGUAAGUCGGGUGUGAAAUUUCGGAGCUUAACUCCGAAACUGCAUUCGAUACUGCGGUGCUUGAGGACUGGAGAGGAGACUGGAAUUUACGGUGUAGCGGUGAAAUGCGCAGAUAUCAGGAGGAACACCGGUGGCGAAGGCGGAUCUCUGGGCCAUUACUGACGCUGAGGAGCGAAAGCGUGGGGAGCGAACAGG